rnacentral:tRNA from 1 species
GGGUGAUUAGCUCAGCUGGGAGAGCACCUCCCUUACAAGGAGGGGGUCGGCGGUUCGAUCCCGUCAUCGCCCA